rnacentral:rRNA from 1 species
AUGGCUAGGAGAUACGACUCCGAGUGGGAGGAAGUGAAGCUUAUCAAUGGCUACGCCAUGCUUAUGGCGAACGUGUCGUUCGCCUGCAGAGGCAUAGGCUACCUGGUGUUCACAUGGACCACGGUGGUUCUUCUCGGCGGAUUCGUCUCCAACAUCGACAAGGACGAUUUCUGGCGUCUCACGUUGAUUACCCUUGUGCAGAUUCUCUGCAUCAGUGUUUCAUUUGGUGAAAGGAUGAAUUCUGCUAUUGAUCUGUUCUUGAGCUUGAGGGUGGUGAAAUUUUUAUUGACGCCCAACUGGCAGCUGGCUGAUAAUUCACACGGUAAUAACCAGGUACUGGUUAAGAGAGUUAUUGCAAAGUUAUGUGAGAUGGUAGGAAGGGUGGUAGUGCUGGCUCACGGUGUGGCAUUGUACUUUUGCCUUAACUUUUUGCCGUUGCUCAUGUUCUUUGGGUUGUUCAUCGCCGUUUGGAUCUCGAUACGCGGUCUCAUGGAACACAGCCAUUACGGUGACAACCCUGCAGAGAGAAAAAACAUGGAUCCAGCACAUACUAUCUUGUACACCAUGUGUGUGGUCGAAGGUGCAUUCUUCCUUUAUAGAAACAUCUUGCUGCUUUCGAUGAGGAGGGUAGUGAAACAAGUGAGCCAAGCUUACGGCUUCCAAGAUGGUGAUUCUGCAGUUUCAGGCUACUUCUUCGAAAUCAGUAGGGGAUGCUCGAAGAACCCAUCCUCCGUGAGAGGGAGGAACCUCGUCACGUAUGCUGUAGAACUCCUGGAGUCCAGCUCGCCCCUCAGUGGCAACUGCCUUUCCGGGAUAUUGAUACUGGACAGACUACUCACCCGGCAGCAUUCUGACAAGAUUAAAUCCCCUAAUUUGAUCAAACAAGAAAACGGAAAUCAGCGACAUAAGCUAUCAGAUUUAGAGGGAAAUAUUGGACCUUCGUUGGUUAAAAUGGAGAAGAAAGAGGAGAAUAAGCAGGAGAGGAGGCAGAAGAAGAGGCGGGAGAGGAAGUGGUGGCAGCUGCAUCAUCCUCGAACAGAAAAGGAGAUCAUUGUGCAACAGCGCAGGGUGAUCAAGCAGCGGAUCGAAUGUGCAUCUUCUGCUCACAUUCUGCAGAAACUGCUUCAUGCACUAGAUUCAAGCCACUCAUAUGACCAAAAGAUGAGGGAGGCCGCUGCUAGGAUAGUGGAGCACGUCGCCAGUGGGAUUCGUCUGGAGCAGUUCCCCUAUGGGAUCCAGUGCAUAUCUUCACUCAUCAACACCAUCGAAGAAUACCAACGGCUCCUACCACACCAAUCAUCAUCAAAGAAACAUGAAGCAAGUAACGCAACCCAGCCACUAUCGUUGAUAACAAACAAUGGUCAAUAUCAGGAACAAGGCAGGUGUGGCAGCAGUAGCGACACUUGUUUAUCGUCAUCAGAGUCAGAGUCGGAGUCAGAGUCAGAAUCAGAAUUACCCUGGGAGAGCGACUUGGAUACCUUUGUAUGGUUAUUUUCCAAGACUAAGAAGAGGAACGAUAACACCGAUCCAUUCCAUGGCUACAAAGAUCUGCUGCUAACUGGCCUACGUAUCCUUUGGGGUCUUGCAGACAGUGAGGACAACUGCAGAAUCAUAAGCAACACCGAACAUCUUGUCUGCAAGAUUAUGGCGCCUGUUAGCUACGACCUAGUGCACCGCACCAGCCAUCAUAGUGCGUGGUCCACUAGCGUAGUCGAGGUAUCACUGAGGGUGAUGCUCCGGCUCGUGGCUGUGGAGGGAGAGACUGGGGCCAAGCUGUGCCAGCAGAUCUCGAGCAACAAGAAAGCUAUGACCACAAUUGAAAGAAUCAUCAAGUGUGAAGAGUGUAAAGGCAGAGAGCUGCAGAUGAAUGCCAUUGAGAUCCUGACGCAACUAUGCAAGGAGGAAACUGAAAGCAGAGAAGACUUCAUUAGGAUGCUGGUAAGCAUCUUCGUUAAUGGUGAUAGUAACUACAGGUCCAUCAAAGAGAGUGCAGGUAAAGCACUGGCGCUGUUUCUUGGCAGCAAAAAUGUUGCCGCCAUCUUCCCAAAGGCGAAUAAUGAUGUCUCCAAGUUUGUUGGUGCUCUCAUUAAAAUAGUUUCAGAUCAGGAUGAGUUUGAUACAUGCAGAAAAAGUGCAGCAGAAAUUCUGGAGCAUUUAUGUAUUCAUUACACCGGGCAUGACGAAUAUCUCGGUACACUCAAGAGUGCCAUGACCGGCGUGAUGCCAAAGGUAUUGAGAGAAAUACUACUUGGUUUUGGAUCGACAGGAGAAGAUGGAAAGCCUGGGUAUGUCAGAGCAGGUACCGGCAUCGCAAACUUUUAUGAGCUCGAUAUCAGAAAUGGUGUUAUAGAAGUCACUGCCAGUUACAACAACGAGAAUAACACUUUCUCCUCUCGGCAAAACCAACAUCACAAGUUACAUCUUGUCCUGAUGUUCCUCUGUGUGACGGCAUGUGAGAAAUUACAACUUGAUAUCAAUGCAAUUUCGCCGGGAGAAAGAGACCAAGGAGAUCAAGGAGAAGGUGUCGCAUUCAGGUUUGCGAUGAAGUUGGUGCAGUUAAACAGGGAUCACAUGACCGCCGACAGCCUGACACUGAUGAAGCUUACCACUAGGCUGGUCAUAGCAGCAAUGAAGAAACACAUGGUGGACGGUCGCAGCACCAUCGUCAAACAAGAUGAAAUGCAUAGCCUCAUGGCAUUGCUCUCUCGUGUUUCGAAGCCCAUGCUGGAUCUCGAGAGCUGCAUGGUUUUCACAGCUGGGACGAGGACAAAAACAAUUCCUGACACCGCUGAGACCCUCGAUUCGAUCAUUAAACUGGCAUCCGAACUACACGGCGAAAUUAGGGACCAAGACUCUGAAAUAGUGCCAGCUAGCUCUACCUAG